rnacentral:rRNA from 1 species
GACGAACGCUGGCGGCGUGCUUAACACAUGCAAGUCGAACGGAAAGGCCCUGCUUUUGUGGGGUGCUCGAGUGGCGAACGGGUGAUUAACACGUGAGUAACCUGCCCUUGACUUUGGGAUAACUUCAGGAAACUUGGUCUAAUACCGGAUAGGAGCUCCUGCUGCAUGGUGGGGGUUGGAAAGUUUCGGCGGUUGGGGAUGGACUCGCGGCUUAUCAGCUUGUUGGUGGGGUAGUGGCUUACCAAGGCUUUGACGGGUAGCCGGCCUGAGAGGGUGACCGGCCACAUUGGGACUGAGAGACGGCCCAGACUCCUACGGGAGGCAGAAGUGGGGAAUAUUGCACAAUGGGCGGAAGCCUGAUGCAGAAACGCCGCGUGCGGGAUGACGGCCUUCGGGUUGUAAACCGCUUUCGCCUGUGACGAAGCGUGAGUGACGGUAAUGGGUAAAGAAGCACCGGCUAACUACGUG